rnacentral:rRNA from 1 species
AUUGAACGCUGGCGGCAGGCCUAACACAUGCAAGUCGAGCGAGCGGCGGACGGGUGAGUAAUGUAUGGGGACUGCCCGAUAGAGGGGGAUAACUACUGGAAACGGUGGCUAAUACCGCAUACUAUCGGAUAACCCAUAUGGGAUUAGCUAGUAGGUGGGGUAAAGGCUCACCUAGGCGACGAUCGCUAGCUGGUCUGAGAGGAUGAUCGUCCAAACUGGGACGGGGACAGGGCCCAGACCCCAAGGGAGGCAGCAGUGGGGAAUAUUGCACAAGGGGCGCAAGCCUGAUUCACCCAUGCCGCGUGUAUGAAGAAGGCCUUAGGGUUGUAAAGUACUUUCAGCGGGGAGGCGUUACCCGCAGAAGAAGCACCGGCUAACUCCGUGCCAGCAGCCGCGUAAUUC